rnacentral:rRNA from 1 species
AGAGUUUGAUCCUGGCUCAGGAUGAACGCUGGCGGCGUGCUUAACACAUGCAAGUCGAACGAACCUUCGGGUUAGUGGCGGACGGGUGAGUAACGCGUGGGAAUCUGCCCUCAGGAGGGGGAUAACGGUUGGAAACGGCCGCUAAUACCCCAUAUGCCGAGAGGUGAAAUGAAUUUCGCCUGAGGAUGAGCCCGCGUCUGAUUAGCUAGUUGGUGAGGUAAGAGCUCACCAAGGCAUCGAUCAGUAGCUGGUCUGAGAGGAUGAUCAGCCACACUGGGACUGAGACACGGCCCAGACUCCUACGGGAGGCAGCAGUGGGGAAUUUUCCGCAAUGGGCGAAAGCCUGACGGAGCAACGCCGCGUGAGGGAUGAAGGCCUCUGGGCUGUAAACCUCUUUUCUCAAGGAAGAAGAUCUGACGGUACUUGAGGAAUAAGCCACGGCUAAUUCCGUGCCAGCAGCCGCGGUAAUACGGGAGUGGCAAGCGUUAUCCGGAAUUAUUGGGCGUAAAGCGUCCGCAGGCGGCCCUUCAAGUCUGCUGUUAAAAAGUGGAGCUUAACUCCAUCAUGGCAGUGGAAACUGUUGGGCUUGAGUGUGGUAGGGGCAGAGGGAAUUCCCGGUGUAGCGGUGAAAUGCGUAGAUAUCGGGAAGAACACCAGUGGCGAAGGCGCUCUGCUGGGCCAUCACUGACGCUCAUGGACGAAAGCCAGGGGAGCGAAAGGGAUUAGAUACCCCUGUAGUCCUGGCCGUAAACGAUGAACACUAGGUGUCGGGGGAAUCGACCCCCUCGGUGUCGUAGCCAACGCGUUAAGUGUUCCGCCUGGGGAGUACGCACGCAAGUGUGAAACUCAAGGGAAUUGACGGGGGCCCGCACAAGCGGUGGAGUAUGUGGUUUAAUUCGAUGCAACGCGAAGAACCUUACCAGGGUUUGACAUCCUGCGAAUCUCUUGGAAACAGGAGAGUGCCUUCGGGAACGCAGUGACAGGUGGUGCAUGGCUGUCGUCAGCUCGUGUCGUGAGAUGUUGGGUUAAGUCCCGCAACGAGCGCAACCCACGUCUUUAGUUGCCAGCAUUUAGUUGGGCACUCUAGAGAGACUGCCGGUGAUAAACCGGAGGAAGGUGUGGAUGACGUCAAGUCAUCAUGCCCCUUACAUCCUGGGCUACACACGUACUACAAUGCUACGGACAAAGGGCAGCAAGUUCGCGAGGACAAGCAAAUCCCAUAAACCGUGGCUCAGUUCAGAUCGUAGGCUGCAACUCGCCUACGUGAAGGCGGAAUCGCUAGUAAUCGCAGGUCAGCAUACUGCGGUGAAUACGUUCCCGGGCCUUGUACACACCGCCCGUCACACCAUGGAAGUUGGCCACGCCCGAAGCCGUUACUCCAACCCUUGUGGAGGAGGACGUCGAAGGUGGGGCUGAUGACUGGGGUGAAGUCGUAACAAGGUAACC